UAUGUGAUCGUCUCUCGCAUAUCAAUAAGCGGAGGAAAAGAAACUAACAAGGAUUCCCCUAGUAACGGCGAGUGAAGCGGGAAGAGCUCAAAUUUGAAAUCUUAAAGGGUUUCCCUUUACGAAUUGUAGUUUAAAGAAGUGUUUUCUGUUGAGGUUUUGGUAAAAGUUCUUUGGAAUAGGACAUCAUAGAGGGUGAGAAUCCCGUAUUUGACCUUUACUUUCAACUUUGUGAUACACUUUCAAAGAGUCGGAUUGUCUGGGAAUGCAGUCCAAAAUGGGUGGUAAAUUUCAUCUAAAGCUAAAUAUUGGCGAGAGACCGAUAGCGAACAAGUACCGUGAGGGAAAGAUGAAAAGAACUUUGAAAAGAGAGUUAAACAGUACGUGAAAUUGUCAAAAGGGAAGCGUUUGACACCAGUGUUGUUUUCUCGAAAAUCAAUUAAAAAGACUGUUUAUGUAGUUGUAUUAGACUUUAUCAGCUUAUCUGCACUCGUUUUCUUGUCUUUUUUAAUGCACUUUUCAGUUAACAAGUCAACAUCAAUUUCUUUUGUUGUAAAAAGGUCAUUGAGGAAGGUGGCUUGCGAUUUCGUAUAAGUGUUUAUAGCCUCUUGCCUCUGCAGUCGGAGAGAUUGAGGUCUGCAGCGUAGAUCCUUCGGGGUUAAGAUACAUUUGUGCUAAGUUAUAGCCUUUCAUAGACAACUUGUUGACUAUGAUCAGUCAUGUAGCUUACUCGCUUAUGCUAUUUUACCUACGCUUAGGAUGUUGACUGAUAUGUAGUCGUA
rnacentral:rRNA from 1 species